AGCGAACGCUGGCGGCAGGCCUAACACAUGCAAGUCGAACGAACCUUUCGGGGUUAGUGGCGGACGGGUGAGUAACACGUUGGAACAUGCCUUUAGGUUCGGCAUAACUCAGGGAAACUUGUGCUAAUACCGAAAGUGCCCUCCGGGGGAAAGCUUAAUCGCCCGUAGAGCGGCCCGCGUCCGAUUAGCUAGUUGGAUGCGGUAAUGGCGCACCAAGGCGACGAUCAGUAGCUGGUGUGAGAGGGUGAUCAGCCACAUUGGGAGUAAGACACGCCCCAAACUCCGACGGGACACAGGAGAGGGGAACAUUGCGCAAUGAGGGAAAGCCAGACGCCUCCAUGCCGCGUGAAUGAUCAAGGUCUUAGGAUAGUAAAGUUCUUUCACCGGGAACGAUUAUGACGGUACCCGAAGAAGAAGCCCCGGCUCACUUCGUG
rnacentral:rRNA from 1 species